UCGACUCGAGCGCCAGCGAGAGAGCGUGGCCGCAGGCAACGACCCGAAGGGCGAAGCGCGCAGCGCUGAGUAAUCCUUCCCCCACCACCA
rnacentral:sRNA from 1 species